rnacentral:rRNA from 1 species
UACGGAGGGUGCAAGCGUUGUUCGGAAUCAUUGGGCGUAAAGCGCGUGUAGGCGGCUUGGCAAGUCAGUUGUGAAAGCCCGGAGCUCAACUCCGGAACUGCCAUUGAAACUGUUUAGCUUGAGGACGAGAGAGGUGAGUGGAAUUCCCAGUGUAGAGGUGAAAUUCGUAGAUAUUGGGAAGAACACCGGUGGUGAAGGCGGCUCACUGGCUCGUAUCUGACGCUCAGGCGCGACAGCGUGGGGAGCAAACAGG